ensembl:lncRNA
GGAUAGAUAUAGACUUAGUUUCCCUAUGUUUCACUAAUGUGCAACUCUUUGCCUGUAGUCAUCGAAGAAGGACAACACAUCAGAAGGAGCAGGGGAUACAGGCAGUUCAGAAAAAGCAGAUGCAGAAGGCAGCAGUGACGAGGACGAAGGAGCCCUGGUCAUUGACGAGAAAAAUGAGAGGGGAGGAACCAAACGAAAAGCAGAGGAGUCCACAGAGACCUCUCCGAAGCGGCCAAAGGAUACAGAGGCGGAAGGUGACUCUAAAAUAGACGGUAACCAGUCUAACGUGGAGCCCAAGCUCAACGAUGUGGCUGGACCCAAGGCGACUGCUCCCAGUGAGUCGAAACCAGAGGCCCAGGAAAAUGCUCCAGCAGGGGGCCAGCAAACAGCAGAGAAGCCUGCGACAGACAGCGCUUAACAUCGACUCAGAAGAAAACCACAAACCUUUGACGCUUCUCUCUGGAAUUUAAGCAUCAACACAAUUACCUGCAGGAUGCCAGAUUUCAGCCGUUUAAUUAAUAAGAGAAUUUUAAAACAAACAAAUAAAUUAAAAAAAACAACCUAAAUGUUUGUAUUGAGAGACAAACAAAUACUCAUUUGCCAUUUUUUGGGAUAUCAUAUAUCCCAGAAAGAAAAAGUUUGCUAAUCUGAUUUCAAAACAAUUGAAUUGAGCACUUUAGGGCUCAUUUAUAAAUGGGAUUUUGGUGUGUAUAUAUUUUUUAUUUCUAAGUGCAAUUACAACGACUGAAUGCUAGGUGUCAAAACAUUUUUCAGCUUAGAGGGGGAUAAACACUGAAUAUAUGGUAAAUUUAAAAAAAAAAGAACAUUAAAAUCACAAGGAAAAAACAUUUAUUUGACAAAUGCUCCCAUUUGAUGGUUUUAAAAAGUAGAUAUUGUACAGGCGAUAGAACAAAUUUUCAUCAAUGCUCUUAGCUUAAGUUCAUAAUUUUACUGCUUCCAUUUGUAUCACCUAGCUUUUCAGCCUCAUUUAAAUCAUUUAUUCUGUCAUUGGAAAUAUGAUUGAAUAUUCAGAGGUUUUUUGUUUGUUUGUUUGUUUGUUUUCUGCCCCCAUUAUUGUUGUCUGUUUUGCCCUAUGACAUUUGUAUGCAAAUGUGUUGUUUUGGUGUGUAUGCUUGAUUGCGAGUGACCAAAGUACGUGAUUCAUUUCACAGGAACCCAUAUGUGGAAUUAAUUAUGUAAACCCCUUUUGAGAAAAGCAAAUUUAGGAUUUAAGCCCCUCUGCUACUCAGUUUAGGCCUCAGUCAUGCCGGCCUAGAAACCAGUUGGCAACCAUCUGGCAACCACUUAAAUGUGCAUUCCCAAUCACUUGGUGAGAAGUUGCUGGCAGUUGCAAGCUGAAACUAUUUGCAAAGAAAUAUACGGAGCUGCACUGAAAACCUUAUGAGUGCUUUGGGUGCUCUCAGGUUGCUGUACUUGUGUAGAAGAUGCCGACUUGUCUGCAAACAUUUGUCACCUAGUUGCGUAGCUGUAGUAAAACGCAACUCAGAAACUGAGACUGUUCCCCAAAGAUGUUGGGUGCGAACUUUUAUUCUGAAGUCGGAACAUUCUUCAUUUCUGGUUUGUGUCAAACUUUCACAAAGUUUCACUUCCGCAGAACCAUUAGUUGUGUUUGCAGACAACUCGGUGUCUCCCUCCCAAACUACAGUAGACCAUGGUAAUCUGCUAGCAACCAAAUGAAUCACAAGGAGGGGUUAAUUGUAAUUCUAACAGAUCUAAAAUUUGUGACUAAGCCCAUAAACACAAGAGUCAAGACAGAAAGCUGUUUUCCCAGAAUUCAAUAGGACCAGAAGUCUUUUUAUAAUUACAGUUCAGAUACAAUGCAGAUUUAGGGCACUUCCACGUUAGCUUCAUCCAUGUCUUUUACUGAUAUCAGCUAGCAACAACCGCUGGCCAAAUGGUCAGGGAGUGCACGUUUCUUCUUGGUGACUGGCGGUUGCUUGGGAGUUACCGACCUGUCCCUAGGCCUGUGUGACUGAGGCCUUACGUAAGGAGACAUUCCUGAGUGAUGUUCUGUCUGAGCAGAAUCUUGAAACUUUAGCAUCAGGUUUCCCAAACAUAGAUUAAUUCCAGUGCCAGACUUGGAAAAAAAUUAAGAAAAAAAAGAUGCUGUAGGCUUAAUCCUUAUCUGGGGAAACUGAGCCUUAAAGGUAAUGUGGAGCAGUGGUAAUGACUGCAAGGGGAAGGUUGUUGGCAUCACCCCUCUAUGUGGAAAUUAUCUGGAAAAGUCUUCUAAAAUUCAGUUUCAUGUUGUGAUUUCACAUUUAGCUUACAGUAGUUCCACUGUUGCUUGAAGCUGUUGAAAAAAAACUUGUUCAGAAAUGUAUUCUCGAAACCUUUGAAACGAGUCGUUGAUCUGGACUGCACAAAGUGAGAUUCAUUGAAAGAAACAAGAAACUGAAUAUGGGUAAAUACAGAGAGUUAACCAUUUGUAAAUCUUCAGUUUAUGACUUUCUUUUCUUGGUUUCCCACCCUCUUAACUGGAAUACUAAUCUGUUUGACUUCAGUGGUCUUAUUAUUUUGACUGUGAAACAAAGUUGUGAUGUGUUUUAUUCCAACAUCUGUUUAGACGACAUGUUCAGAAUAUGGUGUUAUUUUCCACUGUAACAGUAUCCCAAGGAGUUCGGGCCCUUUCACCCACGCCAUUUGGAUGUCAUCGUCAUCGCUUCAGUGUUCUUUCAUGUAAUUAGCAGCGUUAGAUGAUAGUUUAUCACACUAUGAACUUUUAAGGGAAAGCUCAGCUCUGAAUGUUGUGUCGAAGAUGGCCAUCUUCCCAUCGCCACACCGCUGAUUUAAAAACCUUAAAAUGGUCAAAGGCCGGAUCUGGAGGUUAUUCAAAAGUUUAAUUUGGUAUUAAAGUGUAAAACUUUCUUUUGUUGUUGUUUUUGGGGGGGUGGGGGUUAGCCUUCUGUUACUUUUGGAAGCUGCCAUUCAUCUUAAUCUGCUGCUUUGUUUACUAUUGUAGUUGCCAGACCAUUUAAUAAACAUGUUGAUUACAAA